GUGUCAGCAGCCGCGGUAAUACGUAGGGACCGAGCGUUGUCCGGAUUUAUUGGGCGUAAAGAGCUCGUAGGCGGCCGUCCACGUCGGGUGUGAAAGCUCGGGGCUCAACCCUGAGAGGCCAUUCGAUACGGGACGGCUUGAGGCAGCUAGGGGAGAUUGGAAUUCCUGGUGUAGCGGUGAAAUGCGCAGAUAUCAGGAGGAACACCGGUGGCGAAGGCGGAUCUCUGGGGCUGUUCUGACGCUGAGGAGCGAAAGCUGGGGGAGCGAACAGGAUUAGAUACCCUCGUAGUCC
rnacentral:rRNA from 1 species